rnacentral:rRNA from 1 species
GAUGAACGCUGGCGGCGUGCCUAAUACAUGCAAGUCGAGCGAACGGACGAGGAGCUUGCUCCUCUGACGUUAGCGGCGGACGGGUGAGUAACACGUGGAUAACCUACCUAUAAGACUGGGAUAACUUCGGGAAACCGGAGCUAAUACCGGAUAACAUUUUGAACCGCAUGGUUCAACAGUGAAAGACGGUCUUGCUGUCACUUAUAGAUGGAUCCGCGCCGCAUUAGCUAGUUGGUAAGGUAACGGCUUACCAAGGCAACGAUGCGUAGCCGACCUGAGAGGGUGAUCGGCCACACUGGAACUGAGACACGGUCCAGACUCCUACGGGAGGCAGCAGUAGGGAAUCUUCCGCAAUGGGCGAAAGCCUGACGGAGCAACGCCGCGUGAGUGAAGAAGGUCUUCGGAUCGUAAAACUCUGUUAUUAGGGAAGAACAAAUGUGUAAGUAACUAUGCACGUCUUGACGGUACCUAAUCAGAAAGCCACGGCUAACUACGUG